UACGUAGGGCGCAAGCGUUAUCCGGAAUUAUUGGGCGUAAAGAGCUCGUAGGCGGUUUGUCGCGUCUGCUGUGAAAGACCGGGGCUCAACUCCGGUUCUGCAGUGGGUACGGGCAGACUAGAGUGCAGUAGGGGAGACUGGAAUUCCUGGUGUAGCGGUGAAAUGCGUAGAUAUCGAGAGGAACACCUGCGGCGAAGGCGGGGUUGCUGGGCUGACACUGACGUGAUGCGCGAAAAGCUAGGGGAGCGAACGGGG
rnacentral:rRNA from 1 species